rnacentral:ribozyme from 13 species
GAGAGAGAGAGAGAAGAAAGAGAAAAUAUCGACAAAUUAAAGAAACAUCGAAGAGUAUGAUGCUGAGCCGCCACUUUCUUUCUCAUACGAAAAAUUAUCCUCCUGGUCUUGUUCUUUUUUGUUUCGCUUUUUUUCUUCAUAAACUGGGUCAA